UUCUGUCACGAAUCCCGCUUCCUGAGUCUGUGUUUGCCUGUGUUUCUGUCCUGGAGUGUGUUUCCGGUGUCCUGGAACGCACCCUGUCUGGUUGCCGGGCGAAUUAGCUUGUUGGGAGAUCGAUGUUCACCCGCACCUGUAUCCCAUCAGUAAUCUGCACACCUGUCCUGAUCAUCACCUCUCCCCUUCAAAAGCUCUGACCUGACAUCCAUUCCCUGCCGGAUCGUUAGCCAUGUACACCAUUCACCCGGAACCCAUACCCCAUCCCUGUCUGCUCGUCGCCAGUGUGUUGUUAUCCAUUGGAUCUGCCUAUCUACUCCCAUCAACCCACCUCCUCUGCCCGCUCCUCCACCCGGAACUAUCUACCUCCACGUUCUCAUUGAGAACCAUCUUUAUACUCGCCUUGUCCUGGUCUGCUUCUGGGUUCGAUUUUGAAAGAACGUGACAUUUUCAUAUAUAUUAUAGUAUAAUAACUGACAUCAGGUACUUUUUCAUAUAUAUUAUAGUAUAUUAACUGUUUUCACUCGAUACUAGAAAGGUGCUCUUCAUGUUUUUACGCUCAGUGGUUGGCGGUGACAUUUGACUUUUUUUUUUUUUUUGUUAACCGAGCUGCAUUAUCUAACUAACCUCCUGCCAAAUGUAUGACCAUAUAUUAGAGACACAUAAUUCCCUCACAUAAUUCCCUCAGAUUACACAGACCCACAAAGACUUGAAAAUAAACAUGAAUCAACUCCCAUAUCACGGUAGCUCGAGUUGUGGCCCGUUGCCAUGACAAAAGGGCAACCAGUGGAGCGCAAACAACAUUGUAAAUAAAACCAAAAUGUUUAUUUAUCUUCUCCCUACUAUUCAUACUACAACUAUUGGCAUAUUGUUGAAACACUGAUAGCUGAUAAUAAAACACUUGUAAUAACUUUAUCCUUUUGAAACCUUUGUGAGUGCAAUGUUUACUGUUCAUUUCGAAUCGUUUUUUGUUAAUGUUUUUUGGUUUCUUCUCACUUCUGUUUAUUGUUUAUUUCACUUGCUUUGGCAAUGUUAACAUGUUUCCCAUUCCAAUAAAGGCCUUUUGAAUUUCA